rnacentral:rRNA from 1 species
GAUGAACGCUGGCGGCGUGCCUAACACAUGCAAGUCGAACGAAGCACUUGAGCUUGCUUGAGUGACUUAGUGGCGGACGGGUGAGUAAUGUGUGAGCAACCUGCCCUGGAGUGGGGGACAACAGUUGGAAACGACUGCUAAUACCGCAUAAUGUUCGAAGGAGGCAUCUCUUUUGAACCAAAGAUUUAUUGCUCUGGGAUGGGCUCACAUCUGAUUAGUUUGUUGGUGAGGUAACGGCUCACCAAGACUGCGAUCAGUAGCCGGACUGAGAGGUUGAACGGCCACAUUGGGACUGAGAUACGGCCCAGACUCCUACGGGAGGCAGCAGUGGGGAAUAUUGGGCAAUGGGGGAAACCCUGACCCAGCAACGCCGCGGUGAAGGAAGAAGGCUUUCGGGUUGUAAACUUCUUUUGUAAGGGAGCAAUAAGGUGUACGUGUACAUCGAUGAGAGUACCUUACGAAUAAGCAUCGGCUAACUCCGUGCCAGCAG